rnacentral:rRNA from 1 species
GCGGGGGAUAACUACUGAAAGCGUAGCUAAUACCGCAUACGCCCUUCGGGGGAAAGCGUAGACCUUUCGGGCCUCGCACUAUUAGAGCGGCCGAUAUCGGAUUAGCUAGUUGGUGGGGUAACGGCUCACCAAGGGCGACGAUCCGUAGCUGUCUGAGAGGACGACCAGCCACACUGGGACUGGAGACACGGCCCAGACUCCUACGGGAGGCAGCAGUGGGAAUUUUUGGACAAUGUAAUGGGGAAACCCUGAUCCAGCCAUCCCGCGUGUGCGAUGAAGGGCCUUCGGGUUGUAAAGCACUUUUGGCAGGGAAGAAACGUAAUGGGAUAAUACCCCGUGCAAACUGACGGUACCUGCAGAAUAAGCACCGGCUAACUACGUGCCAGCAGCCGCGGUAAUACGUAGGUGCAAGCGUUAAUCGGAAUUACUGGGCGUAAAGCGUGCGCAGGCGGUUCGGAAAGAAAGAUGUGAAAUCCCAGAGCUUAACUUUUGGAACUGCAUUUUUAACUACCGAGCUAGAGUGUGUCAGAGGGAGGUGGAAUUCCGCGUGUAGCAGUGAAAUGCGUAGAUAUGCGGAGGAACACCGAUGGCGAAGGCAGCUCUGGGAUAACACUGACGCUCAUGCACGAAAGCGUGGGGAGCAAACAGGAUUAGAUACCCGGUAGUCCACGCCCUAAACGAUGUCAACGCUGUUGGGGCCUUCGGCCUUGGUAGCGCAGCUAACGCGUGAAGUUGACCGCCUGGGGAGUACGGUCGCAAGAUUAAAACUCAAAGGAAUUGACGGGGACCCGCACAAGCGGUGGAUGAUGCGGAUUAAUUCGAUGCAACGCGAAAAAACCUUACCUACCCUUGACAUGUCUGGAAUCCCGAAGAGAUUUGGGAGUGCUCGCAAGAGAACCGGAACACAGGUGCUGCAUGGCUGUCGUCAGCUCGUGUCGUGAGAUGUUGGGUUAAGUCCCGCACGAGCGCAACCCUUGUCAUUAGUUGCUACGAGCGGCACUCUACCGAGACUGCCGGUGACAAACCGGAGGAAGGUGGGGAUGACGUCAAGUCCUCAUGGCCCUUAUGGGUAGGGCUUCAUCGUCAUACAAUGGUCGGGACAGAGGGUCGCUAACCCGCGAGGGGAGCCAAUCCCAGAAACCCGAUCGUAGUCCGGAUCGCAGUCUGCAACUCGACUGCGUGAAGUCGGAAUCGCUAGUAAUCGCGGAUCAGCAUGUCGCGGUGAAUACGUUCCCGGGUCUUGUACACACCGCCCGUCACACCAUGGGAGUGGGUCUUACCAGAAGUAGUUAGUCAACCGUAAGGAGGGCGAUUACCACGGUAGGAUUCAUGACUGGGGUGAAGUCGUAACAAGGUAG